rnacentral:rRNA from 1 species
GAUGAACGCUGGCGGCGUGCCUAACACAUGCAAGUCGAGCGUGAUUAAGUGGAGUGAGGACUUCGGUCUGAGUGAAACUUAUGAAAGCGGCGGACGGGUGAGUAACGCGUGGGCAACCUGCCCCAUACAAAGGGAUAGCCACUGGAAACGGUGAUUAAUACCUUAUAAGUCGGUAGUCUCGCAUGAGAUAGCCGACAAAGAUUUAUCGGUAUGGGAUGGGCCCGCGUCUGAUUAGCUAGUUGGUGAGGUAACGGCUCACCAAGGCGACGAUCAGUAGCCGACCUGAGAGGGUGAUCGGCCACACUGGAACUGAGACACGGUCCAGACUCCUACGGGAGGCAGCAGUGGGGAAUAUUGCACAAUGGGCGCAAGCCUGAUGCAGCAACGCCGCGUGAGUGAAGAAGGCCUUCGGUUGGUAAACUACUGUCCUAUGGAAGGAAACAAAUAGACGGUAACCGUAGUAGGGAGGAAGGACCCCGGCCGUAACCGUAACGUGCCACGCAC